rnacentral:tRNA from 1 species
GCUGGCAUGGUGUAGUGGUUUGAGCGCUGGAUUACAACUCUGGAGACCAGGGUUCAAAUCCCGACUCAGCC